UUAGAGUUUGAUCAUGGCUCAGAAUCAACGCUGGCGGCGUGCCUCAGACAUGCAAGUCGAACGAUUAAAGCUCUCUUCGGAGAGUGUAUAGAGUGGCGCACGGGUGAGUAACACGUAAGUAAUCUACCUUUGAGUGGGGAAUAACGUCCGGAAACGGACGCUAAUACCGCAUAAUGCAGCGGCAUCGCAAGAUGACAGUUGUUAAAGAUUUAUCGCUUGAAGAGGAGCUUGCGGCAGAUUAGCUAGUUGGUAAGGUAAUGGCUUACCAAGGCUACGAUCUGUAACCGGUCUAAGAGGACGGUCGGUCACACUGACACUGAAUAACGGGUCAGACUCCUACGGGAGGCAGCAGUCGGGAAUUUUGGGCAAUGGGCGAAAGCCUGACCCAGCAACGCCGCGUGAAGGAUGAAGUAUUUCGGUAUGUAAACUUCGAAAGAAUGGGAAGAAUAAAUGACGGUACCAUUUAUAAGGUCCGGCUAACUACGUGCCAGCAGCCGCGGUAAUACGUAGGGACCAAGCGUUGUUCGGAUUUACUGGGCGUAAAGGGCGCGUAGGCGGCUUGACAAGUCACUUGUGAAAUCUCCGGGCUUAACUCGGAACGGCCAAGUGAAACUGUCAUGCUAGAGUGCAGAAGGGGCAAUCGGAAUUCUUGGUGUAGCGGUGAAAUGCGUAGAUAUCAAGAGGAACACCUGAGGUGAAGACGGGUUGCUGGGCUGACACUGACGCUGAGGCGCGAAAGCCAGGGGAGCAAACGGGAUUAGAUACCCCGGUAGUCCUGGCUCCUAAACGAUGAAUACUUGGUGUCUGGAGUAAAUAGUGCUCCGGGUGCCGUCGCUAACGUUUUUAGUAUUCCGCCUGGGGAGUACGCUCGCAGAGUGAAACUCAAAGGAAUUG
rnacentral:rRNA from 1 species